CACCAAACAUGGCAAUACUGAUGCAACAUUCAAAGAAGCAACUGAUUAACAGAAUGCAAGAAGUCGAUCCAUCCUGGCUGAUUUUAUAAAUUUGAAAAGAGGUAAAAUCUAGGCUCAUAGUAGUCGUUGAGAUAUGUUAUAAUUUUUGCAGGUUUGAAUGAGUUCUGCUGAUAUCCAUCUCUAGCAUUGGUGAAAGAAUAUUAUUGUUGCAACCUAAUAAUCUAAGUGACAACAGGUAUACCAGAAAUACAUAUUCCACUCAGCUAUAUUAGCAAUAUCCGCGAGGAUCAAACAGAUUGAGUACAGAACUUGAAUGUCACAAAACAAGUACAAUUUUACAGCUGAGCAAUAAAAGUUACAUAUUUUCACUUUCCAGGAACAAAGUUGGUGGCGAAAGCCCAGGCAUUGUUGGCAACAGGGUCGGCUACAUGGUCAUAAAGGUUCUCAAUUGGACCCUUUCCGGUAACAAUAGCCUGGACAAAGAAUCCAAACAUUGAAAACAUUGCUAGUCUUCCAUUCUUGACCUCCUUUACCUUCAACUCUGGGAAUGCUUCAGGAUCAUCAGCCAAACCAAGAGGGUCAAAAGCCCCUCCUGGGUAAAGCGCGUCGAGUCCCUCACCAAGAGGACCUCCUCCAACUCUGUAUCCUUCAAUUAGUCCCAUGAGCACAACCUGAGUAGCCCAAAUGGCAAGAAUGCUCUGAGCAUGAACCAGGUUCGGGUUGCCAAGAUAGUCAAGGCCUCCUUCAGAAAAGAUUUGGGAUCCGGCCUUGAACCACACAGCCUCGCCAAAUGUGACUCCGUUCUUGGAAAGGAUUUCAGGGAAAACACAGCCUAGUGCUCCCAACAUAGCCCAUCUGCAGUGGAUCACCUCGAGCUCACGGUUCUUGGCAAAGGUCUCGGGGUCAGCUGAGAGCCCGGCAGUGUCCCAUCCAUAGUCACCAGGGAAUUCACCAGUAAGGUAUGAUGGAGUUUGCUCUGAG
rnacentral:lncRNA from 1 species